AACGUCAAAGGUGUCAACGAGCGACGUC
rnacentral:sRNA from 1 species